GCAUUGAAACACCAGUCCCCAUAUGGUCACCAAAGUUAAGCAAUGUUGAGCCUUGUCAGUACCUAGAUAGGUGACCACUUGGGAAUACCAGCUGCUGUAA